rnacentral:rRNA from 1 species
CAGCCAUAUCACAUUGAAAUACAAGUUCCCGUACAAUCACUGAUGUUAAGCAACGUCGAGCCUGGUCAGUACCUAGAUGGGUGACCGCUUGGGAAUAACAGGUGCUGUAAG